GGCAAGGUGACCGAGUGGUUAAGGUGCUGGUUUUAGGAUAAUUCCACCAGUGGGAAACCGCGCGAGUUCGAAUCUCGUCCUUGUCA
rnacentral:tRNA from 1 species